AUUCGAUUAAAUUUGACAGGCGCUGUUCGCAGCCAAGAUUUCCGUCUGCCCGCUUCAUUUCGUCGCUCAUCAAAAUGCGUCUCAUCUUGCGAGCCGGUCCAGUGUGUCGUCACGUUGGCGCAGAUUUAAAUCUGUUGUGCCGCGAAGCCCUCUAUCUUUCAUUGGAUCGAUGCCAAUUGACACUCAAAGAAUGGAAGGCAGCUAUUGGUCGUGUUAGGCCAUCCGCUAUGCGAGAAAGUACCGGAAGUGGCGAGGUAACAACUUUGACGUUUAUCCCCCGAAAAAAAAACUAUUUCAAAAUUAAAUGUCAUCAUGGAGGACGUGACAUUGUUCUCAUAGGCACACGAAACCCAUCGCGAGGUGAUCAAUAUACAUCAUGGUGCGCUGUCGUUUCGAAUCAAAAGUUGCUAGGCAGAGUUGGUGUGUAUAAAUAUAAACUUGGACGAGAAAAUCGGACGCAAAAAUAUGCCCAGCAAAGAACUUGGAGUACGUGAAUGAAAUGACUUUCCGUCCCAUAUAGUGAUGAUAAUUGGCAUUAUGAGCGUCUACACUUUCCAGCCCGGAUGGUCGUCAACUUUGACAGCCUUUUACGCCGCAGGGGAAGCGGAAGAAUCCUACAAUGAGGUCGUCACAUAUCCGAUCAUUUCACCUUCUCUUCCAGAAAGCUACACGCUGGUUGAUGACGACCGACCGUAUUUUUUACGUUCCUACCCAACGACUUGAGCUGUUUUACGACCGGGACGGAUUUGAUGAAAAGCAGCAGCUCUCCCCCGGGUUCCAGUUGCACCUGUUUGGUGGGUUUUUACGGACGUGAUUGUGGCAUACCGGGCCCAGUCUGGCACUCUUGUCAGACUUAAAACAAUUGUUCCGAUUUGAAAGUAUACGGAAGACGCCACGUCGUCUCAUCCACGGACUAAACAUCAACCACGAGCUCGAAUUCUUUCAAGUUCGACUCGAAGAAGUGGGUGAUGUGUUGGAUGUUGUUAUCGUUGGCGAAUCUAAUCUGACGGCUGGAGGGGAUGCGAGCCCAUUGUACCUACUGCCGGAACUUCGCAAGGGAUUCAUGAGCGGCUUCCAGCACAAAAUUAUCCACAUCUUCAUCGAUCACUUCCCACCUGAGGGACUGACAGACGGGUGGUUUGCAGAAACAUUUAUACGUGACUACAUGGGCCAGGAAGGCCUUAAACGCAUCAAAGGUUCGUUUCCUGUCAGUUUUUAUUCCAGCCUAUUCGAUAUCUAUUCUAAAAAAUUUUAACUUUGACGGACGGAUAUUUUUUUGUUC